rnacentral:rRNA from 1 species
AUGACGCUGGUGAACCAGCUGACGCACCGCGGGCUGGUGGCGCUGGCGGAGAAGUACGGCGGGCUGCUGCACCUCCGCCUCGGCUGCCUCCACGUGGUGGCGGUGUCGACGCCGGAGCACGCGCGGGAGGUCCUGCAGGCGCGUGACGGCGCCUUCUCGAACCGCCCGGCCACCGCCGCCAACGUUUACCUCACCUACGGCCGCUCCGACCUGGCGUUCGCGGACGGCGGCGCCCACGUGCGCGAGAUGCGCAGGCUCUGCGCCACAACCCUCUUCAGCCGGCGCCGCGCCGAGACGUGGCUCGCCGUGCGCGACGGGUACGGGGCGCUGGCCCGCGACGUGGGCAGGCGCAGCGGCCAGGCCGUGAACCUAGGCGAGCUCAUCUUCAACCACACCGUGGGCGUCAUCUUCCGCGCUGCCUUCAGCGCCGGCGACGAGGGACUGGACGAGUUCGUCGUCAUCCUCCGGGUGUUCUCCAAGAUCUUAGGCGAGUUCCACGCCGGCGACUACUUCCCGUGGCUCCGGUGGACGGCCCGGCUGGGCUUCAACCGCCGCCUCCACGCAGCGCGCAGCGCCGUCGACAAGUUUACCGACAAGAUAAUCGACGACCACGUGAGGAUAGGGAAGAACCCCGCCGAUGCCGACGCCGACUUGGUAGAUGGCCUGCUCGCUUUCCUCGCCGACGCGAACCUAUCCAAAGGGAAGGACGCCCUCCACUUCACCCGCGACAACGUCAAGGCCAUGAUCAUGGAUAUGUUGUUUGGCGGGCCGGAAACGGUGAGUUCAACGAUUGAGUGGGCAAUGGCGGAGAUCAUGCGUAGCCCUAAUACCUUUGCACGGCUUCAGCAGGAGCUGGCUGACGUGGUGGGGCUCGACCGCAUGGUGGAUGACUCAGACCUCGACAAGCUCCCCUUCCUAGGAUGCAUCGUCAAAGAGACGUUCCGCAUGCACCCGCCCAUCCCGACGCUUCUCCACGCGGCUGCUAAAGACUGUGUACUCGGAGGUUACUCGGUCCCUAAAGGCUCGCGAAUAAUAAUCAAUAUGUGGGCAAUCAAUCGUUACCGCGAGGCCUGGAAGGACGGCGACGCCUUCCGGCCGACGCGGUUCAUGCCAGGUGAGGGGGACGCUGUCGGGCAGGACCUCAAGGGCGGCUCCUUCGAGUUCCUACCCUUCGGGUCUGGACGACGCUCGUGUCCAGCACAGGGAUUCGGUCAUCAUGCAGUGCAAUUGGCUGUCGCAUACCUCGCCCAUGGGUUCAACUGGGAGCUACCCGACGGUAUGAGUCCGGCCGAGCUUGACAUGGGUGACAUGCCCGGCAUCACUGGACCGCGCACCGCGCACCUCUACGCCGUGCCCACGUCCCGACUCAACUGCACGUUGUAA